rnacentral:rRNA from 1 species
AUUGAACGCUCGUUGCAGGCUUAACACAUGCAAGUCGAACGAUGAAACUCUAGCUUGCUAGAGAAGAUUAGUGGCGGACGGGUGAGUAACAUUUAGGAAUCUGCCUAGUAGUGGGGGAUAGCUCGGGGAAACUCGAAUUAAUACCGCAUACGACCUACGGGUGAAAGGGGGCGCAAGCUCUUGCUAUUAGAUGAGCCUAAAUCAGAUUAGCUAGUUGGUGGGGUAAAGGCCCACCAAGGCGACGAUCUGUAACUGGUCUGAGAGGAUGAUCAGUCACACCGGAACUGAGACACGGUCCGGACUCCUACGGGAGGCAGCAGUGGGGAAUAUUGGACAAUGGGGGCAACCCUGAUCCAGCCAUGCCGCGUGUGUGAAGAAGGCCUUUUGGUUGUAAAGCACUUUAAGCAGGGAGGAGAGGCUAAUGGUUAAUACCCAUUAGAUUAGACGUUACCUGCAGAAUAAGCACCGGCUAACUCUGUGCCAGCAGCCGCGGUAAUACAGAGGGUGCGAGCGUUAAUCGGAAUUACUGGGCGUAAAGCGAGUGUAGGUGGCUCAUUAAGUCACAUGUGAAAUCCCCGGGCUUAACCUGGGAACUGCAUGUGAUACUGGUGGUGCUAGAAUAUGUGAGAGGGAAGUAGAAUUCCAGGUGUAGCGGUGAAAUGCGUAGAGAUCUGGAGGAAUACCGAUGGCGAAGGCAGCUUCCUGGCAUAAUAUUGACACUGAGAUUCGAAAGCGUGGGUAGCAAACAGGAUUAGAUACCCUGGUAGUCCACGCCGUAAACGAUGUCUACUAGCCGUUGGGGUCCUUGAGACUUUAGUGGCGCAGUUAACGCGAUAAGUAGACCGCCUGGGGAGUACGGCCGCAAGGUUAAAACUCAAAUGAAUUGACGGGGGCCCGCACAAGCGGUGGAGCAUGUGGUUUAAUUCGAUGCAACGCGAAGAACCUUACCUGGUCUUGACAUAGUGAGAAUCUUUCAGAGAUGAGAGAGUGCCUUCGGGAAUUCACAUACAGGUGCUGCAUGGCUGUCGUCAGCUCGUGUCGUGAGAUGUUGGGUUAAGUCCCGCAACGAGCGCAACCCUUUUCCUUAUUUGCCAGCGGGUUAAGCCGGGAACUUUAAGGAUACUGCCAGUGACAAACUGGAGGAAGGCGGGGACGACGUCAAGUCAUCAUGGCCCUUACGACCAGGGCUACACACGUGCUACAAUGGUAGGUACAGAGGGUUGCUACACAGCGAUGUGAUGCUAAUCUCAAAAAGCCUAUCGUAGUCCGGAUUGGAGUCUGCAACUCGACUCCAUGAAGUCGGAAUCGCUAGUAAUCGCAGAUCAGAAUGCUGCGGUGAAUACGUUCCCGGGCCU